UUGCUUCUCAGGAGGCAAAUAAAAAUGCUUCUGAGUUAGUAAAUGAAGAACAGAGGGCUAAAACCAGAGCAGUCAGAAGACGACUUAAGAAAAAGCGGCAGAAAGAGAGGAAGCGGCAAGAAAAACUACAGAAGGAGCAAGAAAAUAUGAAUGAAAUGGAAAGUUUAUCAGACAGUUCAAAGUCUGAUGAAGAGGAGUCAAUUAAGGGUAGUAAACAGGAUGUUAGUGUGUUAUGUGAGAAAGGACCCCCUCCUGCAUCCAAAAAGAAAAACCCAGAGGGCAAAAAAAGCCAAGAUGGUAAUAAAAAAAUCCAUAAUGGAACCCGUGAAGAGGACAGCAAGGAAGA